ensembl:miRNA
GAUCAGGAGUCUGCCACUGGAGUCGGCACGCCUGCUUUUCACCUGUGAUCCCAGGAGAGGAAGCAGCUGCCUCUGAGGCCUCAGGCUCAGUGGC